rnacentral:ncRNA from 2 species
GCCAUUCACGCAGGAGAGCGCAGCUAGCCGAUAGGCCGGUUGCCGCCGAAGGCGCAAGUGCACCCGCAAUCGCUCAGGCAAAAGGACUGCAAGAAUCCG